UUCAGGGUCCCCUUCCCUCCGCUUUGCUGCCAGUUGUCAUAGGCUGCAUGUGCAUCAUAACACUAUGACUAUGACAACCAAGAUUCUGGCAUAAGAACUCCUGAGAUACAUUCUAAAGCCAAACCUAAAUGAAUGCAUAAGGGAGGAUACCAGGGGUCUCUUGUACGGAGCCGAUUUACUGUGCCACCUCAGGCUCGGUCCUGGCAGGGUCUCCCUGAAGUCCUGCCCCCUGCUGCUCUGGACGGAAACCCCUGACUCCUGAACAGGGCCAUUACCUUCAAAGCCCAUAGCAAGCACUCCAUGAAGCCUCCACCCCUGUGGGAUUGAUGUCCCUCUCCUGCCCAGGACAUCCAGAACAUCUUGUCUGCCAGAAAUCAGCAUGCUUGGGCUGUAACAUUCA